GGAGGGGUGGCCGAGUGGUUGAAGGCGCACGCCUGGAAAGUGUGUAAACGGGAAACUGUUUCGUGAGUUCGAAUCUCAUCCCCUCCGCCA
rnacentral:tRNA from 1 species